rnacentral:rRNA from 1 species
AGCGAACGCUGGCGGCAGGCUUAACACAUGCAAGUCGAACGAGGUCUUCGGACCUAGUGGCGAACGGGUGAGUAACACGUUGGUACCUACCCUCGAGUGGGGAAUAACUGGCCGAAAGGUCGGCUAAUACCGCAUAAUACCGCAAGGUUAAAGUAGUAAUACGCUCGGGGAGGGGCCUGCGUCCCAUUAGCUAGUUGGUAGGGUAAUGGCCUACCAAGGCGACGAUGGGUAGCUGGAUCGAGAGGUUGACCAGCCACACUGGGACUGAGAUACGGCCCAGACUCCUACGGGAGGCAGCAGUGGGGAAUAUUGGACAAGUGGGGGAAACCCGUGAUCCAGCAAUGCCGCGUGAGUGAU